ensembl:lncRNA novel transcript
CCACCGCGGCGACUUGGCGGCGGGUGCCAUGCGUCUGGAGCUUCACAUUCUCUGCCCCCCACCCACCGCGCCGGCGCUCCCUUGUCACGCCUCGGGAAGCGCGCACCUGCCAAGCAGGAUGAAUAAUCUGAUAUCAUGUGAAAUGAGGAAAUAAGAAGCUUUCUGCUGACUUCAUUUUGACCCAGGGUCCAAAAGGUGAUGUAAUCCUGUGGCAAGAAGAUUCAAAACUGUGGACUAUCUUGCAAAAAAUACAAGAAGAUAUUGAAAGUUUUCAUGAGUGCCUACCACCUAAUCUCAAACACUAUCAUUCAUAUGUGCCUCAUUGAGCAAAUCUUUAAUGAGGAUCUAUAUGCCAGCAAUAUCUUUUGCUUGGGAGCAGAAACAGAAAGUACAUGAUGGACUUCAUUGAAGGAUGGAGAUUUGGAAGACAUGAAUGGAUGAAGAACCAAGUGCGUGAGGGCACCUAUCAGGAUUAUUGCUGAAAUCCUUAUGGAGUUAACUGGCUGAGAGGAAGGCAAGCAAGCGAGGACUGAUGGGCCCUUGGCACUGUGAGAACAGUGGAGGAGGAGGGAGCAGGGUUCAUAAGGAGGAGCACAAACAGAAAGUUCAGUGGCCCCAAUAAAAAUAACACCAGAAUCUUCCAGAUACUUUCUCCAUAAGGCGAAAAGUAGAGAUGGGGUUUCACCAUGUUGCCCAGGCUGGUCUCAAACUCCUGAGCUCAGGCCAUCUGCCCGCCUCGGCCUCCCAAAGUGCUAGGAUUACAGAAGGUGCCUGCUUCCCCUUCACCUUCCACCAUGAUUGUAAGUUUCCUGAGGCCUCCCCAGACAUGUGGAACUAACAGGUUUCUCUUAUUGCCUGGAUCCAAGAGCAUCUCCUGGGUUCUUCCUGUUAGAAUACUGAAUGUCCAUGGAGAGUUUAACAUAAGGAAGAAGAGGCCUGUCUCCCAGCUGAAACUGGUGCAGCAGAUCAUGCAAAGUAAAACCUCAGCAGCUGUGAUGAAGUAGAGCAGAGGGCCUGGGUGUCUGUCAGCUCCAAGCGGAAGAUUUCCCCAGCUUUCUAGAUUUCUGACUUCAUAUCUGUGGGAUCCACACAAUGGGGAGGUACUGGCCUUGGAAUCCAUGGUUCCCCAGCUAUCAUUUUACUUUAGAAUUACAGUGUUCUCUGUUAGUGUCAAGGGAAUGAACCUGACGAGAAAAGACCAAACAUAGGACUGUUACAGGGAAGAAAAAUAUGAAAAGACCUAAAGAUGCACGUCCUCAUUAUAUGUAAGGAAUCUAUUUCCUAGAAUCCUAUAAAAAGCUCAAGUGAAUUUGCUUCAGUUAAUAAAUGUGAUUUAAUUAUAAUGAUAAUGCCACAGCAUAUGUUUUGUUUCCUCUUUUUGAAUUGCUCCCUGUUAAUUAUUGAGAGAAGAAAUUCAGUGUAACUUUUUUGUAAUCUGAUAAUGAUGAGGCUGUCUCAUGUGUUCCUUAUGUGCUUCACAAUGUAUGCGUAUGUGUGUGUAUAUAGUUAAGUUGAAGAAGACGGCCAUGUGUGGGCGCUACAGACAGAUGUAAGGCUAAAGAAAGGGCUCCAUGGUGUUAGAGCAAAACCUCAUGAUAAAAAGCUCUUUUUUAUACUUAGGACCUGAUUGUAUUGGGAGGAAAAACAAACAUUCAGUCUUGGAAUGACCUGAAAAACCUGUGGUAUGAACCUACUCCCCUUUCCUCACCCUGGGAUUAGAAUGAAGUUCUACAGUUCAGCUAAGGUGACCAAUUCACUUUGGUUCAUCCAUGUUCCAUGUCUCAGGAAGACAGGAAGAGUCUGGGCUACCCUAGGUUCAGCUGAUGGAGUCUAAUGGCCCUGUAUGCCUGCCUCUUCACCAGUAGGAUGGUGGUGGCUGACAUCACUGACAUGGACUGUGGGGCUAGGACUGUUCUGACCACCUUAUGUGUCCCUCUCAUUUGGUCCUCACAGUGUCCUGAAAAGUUUGGUGGCUAUCUGCGUUUCACACAUGAGGAAACCAAGGAAAAAGAGAGUAAGCUAUUAGGCUAAACCACGUGGAAUUCCUGUGUGUGUAGAUCAAAAAGGUUAAAUAUCAGCAAAUGCAUAUUAUUCAGUCUACAACUUGCCCAAUAUCACAGAGUUGGUAGGUGGUGAUCCCAGAGUCUGAACUCUCAACUACCCAGGAUCAUAGCUACAUAUCUGUAUUAUAGAUGACAGACCCAGGCUCAAAGCAAAUGCAUUAUAUACAUAUAUAUUGCUAUCAGCAGACUACAUCCUUUCUUCUCCAGUCUGUGGCUUCAACUGCUGAUUUUAUUCAGGUCAUAGUGUGAAAGUUGGCUCAAGUCAGACAAGACUGCCCUGCCUGUGGCCUGUUCCUGCUGUGCAGCUAAAAGCAGCCCAUCAAACCAGCUCUCUCAGGCUGGCUGCCUCAAAACCUGCCUGCCUAAAAAUAUCUUUCUCUCAGAUGGCACAGAGCCAUACACUCCAUCUCCCCAGCUGAACUUCCCACCAUUAGAACGACUCAGCUACCCACAUGCCUUCCACCCGAGCCAUUGUUAAAAUUCAACUGUGAACCCUAUAAUCCUCUCCUGUUAACACACUAAUGAUUAGCUUAUCAGGUUACAUGAACUCGAUCUUGGAUCAAGUGAAGUUUGUUUGGGAGUUGGGCUGCAGAUGGGUAAGGUCAGGAGCAUGAGAGUGAAUCAUGGACUAUUAGAUGUGGCAGUAACAUCAGAAGCUGUACUGGCCAGUCCCAGCAUUUUACAGAUGAGGAAACUGAUGUUUAGGUGCCAAAGCCUAGGUGUCUUGACUUCAGGGUGACCAACCAUCCCAGUUUGCCUGGGACUGAGGGAUUUCCUGGCUGUAGAACUUUCAGUGUUCAAACCUGGAAAGUCCCAGACAAACUGGAACAGACUGACCACCGUGCUCGAUUGGGAGCCCAAAACUCUUCUGCUUGUCUGGACAAGUCAGGUUUGAGCGUGCCCUUGCAGUAAGAACCCCUAGGCUGCUUGGUACAGCUCAAAAAUGCCAGGUGGGGAAAUGACCACAGACCUGGUUUACCAAGGCUGGCUCCCCUUCAGUCUCUAAGCAUGGACUUGGAUGCCAUGUGGGAGCAGCCAUAUUGCCCCAUGACUGACCAAAGUGUUAGCCUCUUGGGCCACAGCAUUUAGGGAAGCUGGUUACAUAGAGAUGGUCUCAGAAAAUAAGGCUGUGGUAUGGUUUGUGUACUUCACAGAGAUAGGACCACUGUGUCAGCCACAGCUCUGCGGUUCUCAAAGCUUGGGGGUGGAGUGCUGCUGCUGUUUGUCUCUGCUGCACAUGGCUGCACAGAUGUUGGGAAUGGAGAAGUAUUUGGGCAGGGAGAUGGAUCAGCAGGGUUCCCCGUGCUAUCAUCAUUUCCUUUUUUAGAAGUUUUGUCAUUUAGAGGUUUUGAAUCUUGCAAUAAGCGGUCAUCCUUGAUUAACUUUGGACUUUUUCCCUUAAAUGUCAGGCACCUAAUUUUAAACUUUUUCCUGGUUUUACUUCUCCUCCCAGGCUAUUUUGUCCCCAGUCCUUGGUUGCUUGGCAGUUGUUUCCAAUAUAGCGCCUCCUGCUUUCCAUUCAGCUGGGAUCCAGCUCUAGCUCAUGCCCUGUACCUGGGGCCUAUGUGUGUAAACUAAAGAAGGGAAGGAUGCCGGGCAUGGUGGCUCACGCCUGUAAUCCCAGCACUUUGGGAGGCUGAGGCGGGCAGAUCAUGAGGUCAGGAGAUCAAGACCAUCCUGGCCAACAUGGUGAAACCCUGUCUCUACUAAAAAUACAAAAAUUAGCUGGGCGUGGUGGCACAUGCCUGUAAUCCCAGCUACUCGGGAGGCUGAG